UACGAAGGGGACUAGCGUUGUUCGGAAUUACUGGGCGUAAAGCGCACGUAGGCGGCUUUGUAAGUUAGAGGUGAAAGCCCGGGGCUCAACUCCGGAAUUGCCUUUAAGACUGCAUCGCUAGAAUUGUGGAGAGGUAAGUGGAAUUCCGAGUGUAGAGGUGAAAUUCGUAGAUAUUCGGAAGAACACCAGUGGCGAAGGCGACUUACUGGACACAUAUUGACGCUGAGGUGCGAAAGCGUGGGGAGCAAACAGG
rnacentral:rRNA from 1 species